rnacentral:lncRNA from 1 species
UGUACCAACAAGAAACAAAAGAAGAGGGAGACCAUAAUAAUAAUAACAACAAUAAUCAUACAGAGAGAGAAAGGAACCCAAACAACAACAACAAUGCACAAACAUCGACGCCUUCGACAACAGCAGCGCCAACUACAACAACAACCACCUCAGUAGGCAAAGGAUCCCAAAUCAAUGCCACUGAAAACGACCCUUCACUCAUUGCAAUCAAUACUCCCCAAUGCUUCUCGGAAAACCAAGCAAACCCCAACGCCACUGAGGUGGCACCACCCAUUUCCCAGCCUUUCACCACCUCCAUCCCCCAUGACUCGGAUAUCCACCACCAAAGGAUAGCUGGCACCACCGUUGCAGCAGCGGAUUACGGGACCACAGCCGGUGGUAACACGGACAUUGGCUCGAGUCUCAUAAGGUUGGGGACC